rnacentral:lncRNA from 1 species
ACAGGCCAGCGGGAUCCUGAGGAGAGAUUCCGAGAGUGUCAACAGAGAUGCUGGACACAAGAACGUGGUGAACGAGUAUCACCGUGCGUACAACAUUGUCAACGAGAGUACCAAAGAGAGAGAGAAAAACAACAUCGUGGCCAGGAGGAGACUAGGGAUGAAAAUCAAGGACGUGGCAAACGUGAGCCUGAGGAGAGACUCAGAGAGUGCCAACAAAGGUGCCAGAGACAAGAAGAGGGCCAACAGCAAUGGCAGUGCCAACAACGUUGUCAGCAAGAGUACCAAAGAGAGAAAGAACAACACCACCGUGGCCAGGAGGAUGAAAAUCAAGGACGAGGCAAACGUGACCCCGAGGAGAGACUCAGAGAGUGCCAACACAGGUGCCAGAGACAGGAAGAGGGACAACAAAAGUGGCAGUGCCAACAACGUUGUCAACAAGAGUACCAAAGAGAGAAAGAACAACACCACCGUGUCCAAGAGACUAACCCACAAAGAGAAGAAGUGAAGAAUCCCUACUUAUUCGAGUCUCAGAGGUUCAGGUCUCGAGUCAGGGCCAGCCAUGGAGAUUUCCGCAUGCUCGAGAAAUUCACUCAAAGAUCCGAACUUCUCCAAGGAAUAGAAAAAUUCCGUGUUGCGGUCCUUGAACUUGAACCUCAGUCUUUCAUGUUGCCUCAUCACUGUGAUAGCGAAACCAUAUUUGUUGUUAUU